CUAAAAGACCCUUUAAGGAAUUGGACGUUCAGUUUUUCUGGGUAGAUCUGGACAUGCUGGAUCCAGAUGUCCUUCCUGAAGCUCAGGCCCAUCACGUCCAGGUCAUCACUACCGUAACGGAAGGCACAUGCCAGCUGCACAAAUACUGUCAACACAAAAAAAUCAGCUUUACAACACCAUCUGUGAAGUGACAGACAAUGUUAUAUUCAUCAUCCACACACAUACACACACAAACACACACUGAGGAAGGAACGUAC